AAAAUUCCGAAAAUCAUUCAGAAAAUCCAAAAAUUGAAAAAAACUGGCAGCAGCGUCGUUCCCCGCCGGAAAUCGCCCUUGAUUUUUCGUUCGGUCAUAUCUUCCUCCUCCGGCCACCAAUCUUCACCAAACUUCUUCCAUUAGCUUCAUAUGGUCCUUUCGCACCUGUAUGUGGAAGCCUUGAAUAGCGGCACGGCCUGUAUGGGCGGCGGCAAGCUUGUUCCGAUUUAAGCCUGAUUUUGAGUCAACGCCGAUAUCUCGAGUUCUAGACGAUAAAUCUUCGAGAUUCUUGGACAGAUGAACUCGGAUUGAAGUUCUGAAACAGUUCCAUGAAGAAAUUGAAGCGAGUGGUGGAAGUUUUUACGUCGAUCGGAGCACCUGCCGGUUUCUGGAAAAAAUCCGGCGAACCCGUGGCUUCUAGGUGAUUGACGGUCUUCCUUGGUGAGCGGUUUUGGUGUGUAUUGUGAAAGUGAAGACGCAGCGGGAUUAGAGCGGGUAAUCCUACAGGUCAGGAGAAUCGAGAAUGUGAUCAGGCUGCUUAGAGUAGUGGGAUUGGAGUUACAGCUUUAUUGUGAGGUUGUUAUGCUCAUUGAGCUUACAUUUAAAUUUGGUGAGAGUGUGUUGUAAUAUUAAAUUCUUGAGGAUUUGGUUUAUGUAUUAGUGAGUGAGGCUAGGUGUGUUUAUCUCUGAGAAAAAGAUUCAGAACGUUUAUUUGAUUAA